CCUCUGGUGGAGCACAGUGGUACCUGUUUCAGUUCAACAACUCGGAUACUAUUGCAGAAUACCCUCAUCGGAGCUGUUCAGGGAGUUCUUUAAGAGACCUCAAAAAUAAACAAAAAAAUAAACACAGACAAAAAUAAAGGAUGUUAAUCAGACCACUUAUAAAGAAGUACAUACGUGCACACACACACACAAACACACACACACACACAUCACAAACAGGCUACACAAGUAAAUACACACACACUCCACAUCACAAACAGGCUUCACACGGCACUGCUGUCACACGUUUAAACACAUACAACAUUGCUUGUUUUUUUCACUUUGACUCACUUUUACCAAAAUCCAGAGAUUGUCCAGCCUUCCUGUUGUGAGCUCAGCGAGUCCUGUGUUGACAGCCCUGCUCCAGGCUUCUGUUUGAAUGUGUUGCUUUAGUGCGAGAAUGAUACAGGCUGUGGAACUGGUGUGUCCAGCAGCACAGUGAUGUUUUGAACACAAAGCGAAGCACCAAGGACACGUGCAGCUGACCCUCGCAGCCUUGCUUUUUGCUGUCUCACAUUCAUAUUUUGUGCUGUAUUUGUAUUUAUUUUUUAUCUGAAAGUAACUUCAAAUAUUUGUUUUGUUUUUUCAAAUUAGAAAAACAAGGUUGGGUGGGGGGUGAGCUGUGCAAAGGAUUUGGUCUCUGCUUCAAGGACAGUCUUAGUGCCAUCUGUCUCAGUGUGACUGUUUCCCAAGAGUGACGUUCAUUUGUAAAGUCCCAGAACACAGCUCCUGAUGUUAAUAGAGAUUCUGAAGCACAUUGCAGUGUGGAGUUCUGUGCAACGCGUCUUUACAAGGCUGUGAUUUGAGUGUGUUUGAGGUCAUUUUUAUAUUCUGUUGGGCCACCACAAACCACACACAGAUGAGCAGGGACCACCAGACAGGCCUGUGCGCGGCCGCAGAGUGACCGCC